UACGUAGGCAGCAAGCGUUGUUCGGAGUUACUGGGCGUAAAGGGUGUGUAGGCGGUUUUCUAAGUCUGGUGUGAAAUCUCCCGGCUCAACUGGGAGGGUGCGCCGAAAACUGGAAGGCUAGAGUGCGGGAUGGGAGAGUGGAAUUCCUGGUGUAGCGGUGAAAUGCGUAGAUAUCAGGAGGAACACCUGUGGUGUAGACGGCUCUCUGGACCGCAACUGACGCUGAGACACGAAAGCGUGGGGAGCAAACAGG
rnacentral:rRNA from 1 species